AGAUCGCGAACAGUCUGAUGUGAUUAGAAUCUUUUCUUGAGCGUUCAAGCUCGUUUUGACGAGUUUCGCUACCUCGGAGUGUUCCAAUUUUGUAUGGAAAAGACGUCAAAUGCGCUCACCAGCAUAACGGAGAUUUUAGGUUCUACGCUUUGUUUUACCAACUUAAUAGAAGGCUCGUAACAUCGGCCAUACUGUCUUCGCGCAGCGGUCGAGUGCGCCGGAAAUUCUCGGCAAGUUGCAAGCUAAACGGUUAACCAGAAG